rnacentral:lncRNA from 1 species
GCAAAAGGAUCGGAGGCUACUCUUGGUUUUCCUGGCCGUAGUUCAAACCUCCAGGGUCCAGGCACUUCGUUUGGCAGCAAACACGAUGGAGACGGAGGGCAUGACAAACGAAUGCCUGGAUGGUGGACCACCGAGGUCACUUGGGAUGGCNNNNNNNNNNGUAGUAGGUCCAUAAAGGGGAUUGGAUCUGAGAAGCAUGGUG